GGCUAGACUCAGUGCAUGGACACAGCGCUACGCUCCUGGAGGCAUGUGUGCGGCUGCAGGGCACCGAUCGCAAGAUAGGGGAAAGAAAAAGGGUUAAAGGCGGAAAACGAAAUAUCCAAAUAUACACAAAUAGGCUGUGCAAGAAGUUCAUGGAAGUGCUCAGCAAUAGCUUUUCAGCAGGAAACAAGCCAGGGAUCCGCUGGGUCUCUCCGGGUCUCGGCACAGCGCCCCUAGCGGCGCUGCUCGAACUGCAGCUCGCACAUGACUUUCAGGUGACAGCUGGCAAAAUGCGGGAUCCGUGAUUCACAAGUAGCUUUGUUUACGAAGAAGCUAGGCUCGUUUGUUUAUUGGCUGAUGCGCCGUGGUGAAUCUCCUCCACAGACAGACGGAACAUCGUCCCUUCGUGGCGCAGGCUUCGCGCAGGAGACGGUGUCACGUUGCAACAGGAACGCGUCAUCUCCAGACUCAAGCCUGUAGUGAGCGCUCUCUUUAUCUGCACAGAACUGAGCCCAGCCAUGAAGAGCAGCCUGUGAUCCAAAGUCAGACUGUGCACGUGCACGCGGCCGUGCACGCCUCACGUGCACGCCUCACGUGCACGCCUCACGUGCACGGCGGCGGCGCAGGACCUGAGCUGCAGCUUCAGCCUCGCGUUUGAGCCUCCGGCCUCAGUAACAGCACCAUCGCUAGACGGUGGGAGUUCACAGGAGCCUGGGGACAUGAGUCAGGCACAGGCCUGCGCUCUGCAGCCUCUGAUCAUCAGAGGGCCAGAGGUGGAGGGAGGUGGAGCGAGGUGGAGCGGUCCGACCUCAGCUGGACACUGACCGCAGCCCUUCCACGUCCGCCCAUCAAUGACAGCACGCUGGCUCUGUGUUGACGCGAGCUGCUUGUUUGCUCUGACUUCCAUCACGCAUCUGUCAGGGCAGGAGCCGUGUUACCAGCCGUUGCCACGGAGACCAUUCACACCCUCAGCGUUUCUCAUCCGUCCUCUGUAAACAGCGACAGUUUAUCUUGCGCACUUCCUCAUAACAACUGUCAUGUUCACAUUCCUGACGUGAAGUUUGUCACUGGUUCGAGCGCUGAACUUUGUUUUCACGAUGGCACCAGACUUUUACUUUUCAGCCAGUGAGCAUGCACGCCGUUUUCAGCGUUUCUGCCCUCCACAGAGGCGGAGGACGCCUCCGGUUGGUGCUCUGCAGGUUUGAACAGUCUGAAAGAGACGACUCCGCGGGUUCAGAGCCCCAGCACCACCGUGGAGACGUCCCAUGGCUGAGUAGACAGUGAAUAUUUGUUAGCAGGUUGAUUAAUGUCUCUGGACCUGUCUGGAUCGGGCCAAGGCCGGAACUUAUGAAACCAGUCUAUAAACAAACUAAGUUCUAGGUAGCGCAACACUUCCUGGUGAAAACUGUGUCAUGCAGAAAAUUUCCACAGACUCAUGUUGCAAGAGCUUAUUACAGGAAAAUCUGUGUCUCAGCAUCCAUGAAGGAAGUUCUUCUCUUACAGUUCAGCACAAAUAGAAACCAGUUCUAAGCUGCUGGUGCUGCUGCUUGCAGUCACCUGCUGUGGGUCAUCGGGCCACGGCUGAGGUGACACCGAGGCCGGAGACGCAGCAGUUGCAGUUAGCAUGCGGGCGCUGCGUCUGAUCCACGCGCUGCUUCCUUCUGCGUGAGGCACCAGCGCUCGCUCCGUGCCUUUGACUCACACUCAUCUGUGUAUGUAGGACGCCGGGCUCUGACUGUUCUCCACCCACUGCAUAACUUCCCUUAGACUUAUUACAACACUGGUUUUACUGGAUUGAUUUCAUGAUUUGGAACCGUUCCUCCUCGUCCACUGCUCAUAAACAAAGUAUUUCAUUCUGG